AGUUUGAUCCUGGCUCAGAUUGAACGCUGGCGGCAGGCCUAACACAUGCAAGUCGAGCGGUAACAGGGAGUAGCUUGCUACUUUGCUGACGAGCGGCGGACGGGUGAGUAAUGUCUGGGAAACUGCCUGAUGGAGGGGGAUAACUACUGGAAACGGUAGCUAAUACCGCAUAACGUCUUCGGACCAAAGUGGGGGACCUUCGGGCCUCAUGCCAUCAGAUGUGCCCAGAUGGGAUUAGCUAGUAGGUGGGGUAACGGCUCACCUAGGCGACGAUCCCUAGCUGGUCUGAGAGGAUGACCAGCCACACUGGAACUGAGACACGGUCCAGACUCCUACGGGAGGCAGCAGUGGGGAAUAUUGCACAAUGGGCGCAAGCCUGAUGCAGCCAUGCCGCGUGUAUGAAGAAGGCCUUCGGGUUGUAAAGUACUUUCAGCGAGGAGGAAGGCAUUAAGGUUAAUAACCUUGGUGAUUGACGUUACUCGCAGAAGAAGCACCGGCUAACUCCGUGCCAGCAGCCGCGGUAAUACGGAGGGUGCAAGCGUUAAUCGGAAUUACUGGGCGUAAAGCGCACGCAGGCGGUCUGUCAAGUCGGAUGUGAAAUCCCCGGGCUCAACCUGGGAACUGCAUUCGAAACUGGCAGGCUAGAGUCUUGUAGAGGGGGGUAGAAUUCCAGGUGUAGCGGUGAAAUGCGUAGAGAUCUGGAGGAAUACCGGUGGCGAAGGCGGCCCCNGGACAAAGAC
rnacentral:rRNA from 1 species